UGUGGCCCGCGCCAUAACGGUCAGCGCUCUCGAAUUUUUAGUCCGUAGAUAGGAAAUCGUAAUCUCGGUACCUACCUUAUAAGAUCUACAACUUAAAAAUAAUACGUUAUACGAUUUAAAUAAAACAAACUUUAGUUUGGGACAUUCAAGUUUAGGUAUUUCGUUUUUAGUUAGAUAAUGACAAUUUAAUUAUUUAAAUACAACAAAUGGUACACCAACAUGAACGGCUCAUUCUAUUAUGAAUUUAUAAAUACGAAUUCCUUCAAACAACAAAUGUGUGUAAUAAUAAUUCACUCCAAUUACACAGUGAUUUAGCAAGUAAUCCUUAUGGGUUGUUUUGGAUUACCUUACAAAGAAUAAUGUUUGAAUAAAAGUUGUCGAAAUAUGUUAGUAAUACUUUUUAUUCUGAAAUCAAGCAGGAGAGUGACAUUUGAUUCCAGGACAGAAGAUAUAUCCAUGGAUUUUGUGAUUGUUUCUUCAUCCAUAGCUAAAACACCAAUGAGCACAGAUGGUUUAAGAUAAAGCUGUUAUUUGUCUGACUGAAAUGGAAGUACUGCACACACGAACUGAAUUGGACGAAUCUUUGACAAUAUAUAUGUACCUCUUCCAAUUUGUAAAUUAUUAUACAUCAAUAAUUUAUACAGCUUUUUUGAAUGGCAAAAAUGUUGAUUAUCCUGCUAAAUAUUUGCUUAUAGUUAUAUUCAAUCUUCGUCGAGAAGAAUGUAGUCCAGAUGGAUCUCUCAUGGAAUUAAGCAUCAAAUUGUUCAUUAUAAUGGUUGGGCAACAAUCAUCAAAGACUGUAUUGUAUUGGUUUUUUAGUUAAAGCCAAAAACUAAAACUGUUUAUAUUUAAGUGUGGGUUGAAAUUGGCUGAGAACACAGGUGUCUUAGAUAAUUUGAAAUCAUCAUCCGGAGAAGAAAAUUUGGACACAGUUGUUAAGAAACCUUGGAUUGAAGAUUACAAUACUUUAGAUUGGUAACCAAGACGACUCUUCCCAGAAUAUUUGGAAAUGGAUUCAAAAAUAUUGGUUAUAAUAUAUUUUUUACAUAGUGUACCUAUUCCUUUGUCAAAAAUCCACUCAUGAUGAAUAUGGUAGAAAAAGUUUUACCAAAUACAUUGAGGAGAAUUAAUUAAUCAUGAAUUUGUCAUGGUAACACUAACUUCUGUGGCCAUUGAAUCUAUAAAAUUAGGCACUUACUUAAUAAUAAUAUUUGUAAUGUAUUCAGUCAAAAAUAACUAAUAAGUAUUGUUUUAAAUUCUAGAUAGAUAUUGACUUAAACAGAAUAUACUAUAAAAAUUGAAGAUGUGUCUCUAAAACGCAUUAAAAUAUUGGAUGAAUGGAUAAAUAAUAAUGCCAACACACCAGAUUUAACCAAUAGUAAGUACUCCAUAAAUU